rnacentral:tRNA from 1 species
AAUUAGAAAGCGAAAAUUUGCUCUUAGUUUCGACCUAAGCUUUGGUCUUGUAGACCUCUAAUUG